AACAUACUCCCUCCGUCCGAAAAAGCUUGUCCUUCAAUUAGAUGUAUCUAGCACCAAGUUAGUGCUAGAUACAUCCAUUUGAGGGACAAGCGAGAGACAAGCUUUUUCGGACGGAGGGAGUAUAUU
rfam:Triticum aestivum genome assembly, contig: Triticum_aestivum_CS42_TGACv1_scaffold_577641_7BL